rnacentral:tRNA from 1 species
GGGGUUGUGGCUCAAUGGUAGAGCACUUGCCUAGCAUGGAUGAGGCCCUGAGUUCAAUCCUCAGCACCA